GAUGAAGAACGCAGCGAAAUGCGAUAAGUAAUGUGAAUUGCAGAAUUCAGUGAAUCAUCGAAUCUUUGAACGCACAUUGCGCCCCUUGGUAUUCCGAGGGGCAUGCCUGUUCGAGCGUCAUUAUAACCCCUCAAGCUCAGCUUGGUGUUGAGGCCUGCUGCACUGGCAGCCCUUAAAAUCAGUGGCGGCGCCAUCUGGCUCUAAGCGUAGUAAUUCUUCUCGCUAUGGAGUCCUGGUGGAUGCUUGCCAUCAACCCCCAAUUUUUCUAUGGUUGACCUCGGAUCAGGUAGGGAUACCCGCUGAACUUAAGCAUAUCAAUAAGCGGAGGA
rnacentral:misc_RNA from 1 species